GGUGAAGCGGCAGUGGCGGGUUUAGCCUUCGGGGGCCAGCCGCCGCCCUGAUCCUGCUAGAGGUGAACAACCGCAUCAUCGAGGAGACGCUCGCGCUCAAGUUCGAGAACGCGGCCGCCGGAAACAAACCAGAAGCAGUAGAAGUAACAUUUGCAGAUUUCGAUGGGGUCUUUUAUGAUAUUUCAGAUCCUAAUGGAGACAAAACAAAAGUGAUGGUCAGUAUUUCUUUGAAAUUCUACAAGGAACUUCAGGCACAUGGUGCUGAUGAGUUAUUAAAGAGGAUGUACAGGAGUUUCUUGGUAAAUUCAGAAUCAGGAUACAAUGUUUCUUUGCUAUACGACCUUGAAAAUCUGCCUGCAUCCAAGGAUUCCAUUGUGCAUCAAGCUGGCAUGUUGAAGCGAAAUCGUGUUGCCUCUGUCUUUGAAAAAUACUUCCAAUUCUAAGAACAGGGCAAGGAAGGAGAAAACAGGGCAGUUAUCCAUUAUAGGGAUGAUCAGACCAUGCAUGUUGAGUCUAAAAAGGACAGAGUCGCAGUAGUCUUCAGCACAGUGUUUAAGGAUGACGACGAUGUGGUCAUUGGAAAGGUGUUCAUGCCGGAGUUCAAAGGGGGAUGCAGAGCCAGCCACACAGCCACACAGGGCCUCUUUAGCCACCGGGAGCCUCCUCUGGAGCUGAAAGACACGGACGCCGCUGUGGGUGACAACAUUGGCAACAUCGCCUUUGUGCUGUUCCCUCGCCACACCAACGCCAGUGCUCGAGACACCACCAUCAACCUGAUCCACACGUUCCGGGACUACCUGCACGACCACCUCGAGGGCUCUAAGGCCUAUAUUCACACACGUAUGCGGGCAAAAACAUCUGACUUCCUCAGGGUGCUGAACCGCGCACGCCCAGAUGCCGAGAAAAAAAAAAAAAAAUGAAAACAAUCACGGGGAAGACGUUUUCAUCCCGCUAAUCUUGGGAAUAAGAGGAGGAAGCGGCUGGCAACUGAAGGCUAGAACACUUGCUACUGGAUAA